AGACUUGACAUCUCCUGAAUUACUCUGUAAUGGAGGAAGCCACUUCGGUGGCAGGAAGACAGGUGGUGCAUGGUUGUCGUCAGCUCGUGUCGUGAGAUGUUGGGUUAAGUCCCGCAACGAGCGCAACCCUUAUUGUUAGUUGCUACCAUUUAGUUGAGCACUCUAGCGAGACUGCCCGGGUUAACCGGGAGGAAGGUGGGGAUGACGUCAAAUCAUCAUGCCCCUUAUGUCUAGGGCUACACACGUGCUACAAUGGUCGGUACAAUGAGAUGCAACCUCGCGAGAGUGAGCAAAACUAUAAAACCGAUCUCAGUUCGGAUUGUAGGCUGAAACUCGCCUACAUGAAGCUGGAGUUGCUAGUAAUCGCGAAUCAGAAUGUCGCGGUGAAUACGUUCCCGGGCCUUGUACACACCGCCCGUCACACCAUGAGAGUUGGCAAUACCCAAAGUUCGUGAGCUAACGCGUAAGCGAGGCAGCGACCUAAGGUAGGGUCAGCGAUUGGGGUGAAGUCGUAACAAGGUAGCCGUAGGAGAACCUGCGGCUGGAUCACCUCCUUU
rnacentral:ncRNA from 1 species